rnacentral:lncRNA from 1 species
GAGCUCCUGAGAGGUCAGCGUGGCUGAUCAGGGAAGGCUGACAGCAGGAAGAGGGGAGAUGCUCCUAAGAACAGUUUGAACACACCGAUGCAUAAACAAACCUCCCUUCCUGUUAGUAUCUGACACACGAGCCACACAAGGUGACAGUGAAAAAGACAAGCAAAUGUAAAGGAGGUGAUAGACUCUUAGAAGCUACCGUACUCGCUCGUGGAUAGAGUGAUGGUAAAGAAAACCAAGUUCCUACAGCAACAGCGUACUGUAAGAAGGAAAGGAACUUAGGAGAGUCAUCCCACCACUGCUGUUCCCCAGUGACCCCAUCCCAAUGCCAGGCUCUCUGAGGGAUUUAACUCCAGAGCCUUCUUCAAGCCAAGGACUGCUGAGUCCACACCUCCCCAGGGCCUCUGGAACAUCUCCCUGGAUGUCAGACAGGCUCCUUGGACCACCCAUGCCCCAUGCUGGAAGUCUCCACCCAAUUUGCUUUUCUUCCAGUAUCGUCCCAGUUCCUUGUUUCUAACAUCCAUACACUCGUGCAAGCCUGAACCUCUACUCAUUUUGCGUCUCCUCUUACCCUCCAGGCGGCAGCCAACUCUGCCAAACCUGCUGCUCCUGGCAAGUCCCACAGCCAGUGCCAUGUUGGGCACGGUCAUCUCUCUUGGACUCUGACACUGCCUCGCGGCAGCCCUUGUUCCUGCAGCCUCACCCCAGUGGCUUGUUCUAUGCUACUAACAAAUUAGAAUUGGUUGCCUCCU